AUGAACGCUGGCGGCGUGCCUAAUACAUGCAAGUCGAACGCUUCACAUAUGUGAAGAGUGGCGAACGGGUGAGUAAUACAUAAGUAACCUGGCCUUUACAGGGGGAUAACUAUUGGAAACGAUAGCUAAGACCGCAUAGGUGUCAUAACCGCAUGGAGAUGACAUGAAAUAUGCUGCGGCAUAGGUAGAGGAUGGACUUAUGGCGCAUUAGCUAGUUGGAGGGGUAACGGCCCACCAAGGCGACGAUGCGUAGCCGACCUGAGAGGGUGACCGGCCACACUGGGACUGAGACACGGCCCAGACUCCUACGGGAGGCAGCAGUAGGGAAUUUUCGGCAAUGGGGGAAACCCUGACCGAGCAACGCCGCGUGAAGGAAGAAGUAAUUCGUUAUGUAAACUUCUGUCAUAGAGGAAGAACGGUGCGUGUAGGGAAUGACAUGCAAGUGACGGUACUCUAUAAGAAAGCCACGGCUAACUACGUGCCAGCAGCCGCGGUAAUACGUAGGUGGCGAGCGUUAUCCGGAAUUAUUGGGCGUAAAGAGGGAGCAGGCGGCACUAAGGGUCUGUGGUGAAAGAUCGAAGCUUAACUUCGGUAAGCCAUGGAAACUGUAGAGCUAGAGUGUGUUAGAGGAUCGUGGAAUUCCAUGUGUAGCGGUGAAAUGCGUAGAUAUAUGGAGGAACACCAGUGGCGAAGGCGACGAUCUGGCGCAUAACUGACGCUCAGUCCCGAAAGCGUGGGGAGCAAAUAGGAUUAGAUACCCUAGUAGUCCACGCCGUAAACGAUGAGUACUAAGUGUUGGGAGUCAAAUCUCAGUGCUGCAGUUAACGCAAUAAGUACUCCGCCUGAGUAGUACGUUCGCAAGAAUGAAACUCAAAGGAAUUGACGGGGGCCCGCACAAGCGGUGGAGCAUGUGGUUUAAUUCGAAGCAACGCGAAGAACCUUACCAGGUCUUGACAUCGAUCUAAAGGCUCCAGAGAUGGAGAGAUAGUUAUAGAGAAGACAGGUGGUGCAUGGUUGUCGUCAGCUCGUGUCGUGAGAUGUUGGGUUAAGUCCCGCAACGAGCGCAACCCUUAUGGUCAGUUACUACGCAAGAGGACUCUGGCCAGACUGCCGUUGACAAAACGGAGGAAGGUGGGGAUGACGUCAAAUCAUCAUGCCCCUUAUGACCUGGGCUACACACGUGCUACAAUGGACAGAGCAGAGGGAAGCGAAGCCGCGAGGUGGAGCGAAACCCAGAAAACUGUUCUCAGUUCGGACUGCAGUCUGCAACUCGACUGCACGAAGUUGGAAUCGCUAGUAAUCGCGAAUCAGCAUGUCGCGGUGAAUACGUUCUCGGGCCUUGUACACACCGCCCGUCACACCAUGAGAGUCGGUAACACCCGAAGCCGGUGGCCUAACCGCAAGGAAGGAGCUGUCUAAGGUGGGACUGAUGAUUGGGGUG
rnacentral:rRNA from 1 species